UGUAAAAUUUUAAAGGUCGAACAGACCUAAUAUUUUAGCUUCUACACCAAAAAUUUAUUUUAAUCCAACAUCGAGGUCGCAAUCUUUUCUUUUAAUAUGAACUCUCUAAAAAAAUUACGCUGUUAUCCCUAAGGUAAUUUUAUCUUAUAAUCAAAAAUAUUGGAUCAUUAACUCAUAAAUUAAUGGUUUUAAAUAAAAAAAGUUAGUUUAAUUUUUUAAUCACCCCAAUUAAAUUGCCACAUAAUAUGUAUACAUAUAAAUACUAAAAAAUAACUUUCAUUCAACAAUUAAACUCUAUAGGGUCUUCUCGUCUUUUAAAUAAACUUAGGCUUUUUAACCUAAAAAUAAAAUUCUAAUAAAAUUUAAUAGAGACAGCUACUUUCUUAUCCAACCUUUCAUUCCAGCUCUUAAUUAAAAAACUAAUGAUUAUGCUACCUUAGCACGGUCAAAAUACCACGGCCAUUUAAAAUCUCAGUGGGCAGGUUAGACCUUAAAUUAUUUACAAAAGGAC
rnacentral:rRNA from 1 species